rnacentral:rRNA from 1 species
UGUUCCCUACGGGGGGCAGCAGUGGGGAAUAUUGGGCAAUGGGCGCAAGCCUGACCCAGCAACGCCGCGUGAAGGAAGAAGGCUUUCGGGUUGUAAACUUCUUUUAUGAGGGACGAAACAAAUGACGGUACCUCAUGAAUAAGCCACGGCUAACUACGUGCCAGCAGCCGCGGUAAUACGUAGGUGGCAAGCGUUAUCCGGAUUUACUGGGUGUAAAGGGCGUGUAGCCGGGCUGACAAGUCAGAUGUGAAAUUCCGGGGCUCAACCCCGGACCUGCAUUUGAAACUGUUGGUCUUGAGUAUCGG